CUCUGUGACUCCUACGGGAGGCAGCAGUGGGGAAUAUUGCACAAUGGGCGCAAGCCUGAUGCAGCAACGCCGCGUGAGCGAUGAAGGCCUUCGGGUCGUAAAGCUCUGUCCUCAAGGAAGAAUAAAUGACGGUACUUGAGGAGGAAGCCCCGGCUAACUACGUGCCAGCAGCCGCGGUAAUACGUAGGGGGCAAGCGUUAUCCGGAAUCACUGGGCGUAAAGGGUGCGUAGGCGGUUUUUCAAGUCAGAAGUGAAAGGCUAUGGCUCAACCAUAGUAAGCUUUUGAAACUGUUAAACUUGAGUGCAGGAGAGGAAAGUGGAAUUCCUAGUGUAGAGGUGAAAUUCGUAGAUAUUAGGAGGAACACCAGUGGCGAAGGCGACUUUCUGGACUGUAACUGACGCUGAGGCACGAAAGCGUGGGGAGCGAACAGGAUUAGAUACCCUGGUAG
rnacentral:rRNA from 1 species